CGGGUAGAGUAACACGUGAGCAACCUGCCUUUCAGUGGGGGACAACAUUUGGAAACGAAUGCUAAUACCGCAUAAGACCACAGUGUCGCAUGGCACAGGGGUCAAAGGAUUUAUCCGCUGAAAGAUGGGCUCGCGUCCGAUUAGCUAGAUGGUGAGGUAACGGCCCACCAUGGCGACGAUCGGUAGCCGGACUGAGAGGUUGAACGGCCACAUUGGGACUGAGACACGGCCCAGACUCCUACGGGAGGCAGCAUG
rnacentral:rRNA from 1 species